UACGUAGGGUGCGAGCGUUGUCCGGAAUUAUUGGGCGUAAAGGGCUCGUAGGCGGUGUGUCGCGUCGGCCGUGAAAACCUGCAGCUUAACUGUGGGCUUGCGGUCGAUACGGGCAUCACUGGAGUUCGGCAGGGGAGACUGGAAUUCCUGGUGUAGCGGUGAAAUGCGCAGAUAUCAGGAGGAACACCGGUGGCGAAGGCGGGUCUCUGGGCCGAUACUGACGCUGAGGAGCGAAAGCGUGGGGAGCGAACAGG
rnacentral:rRNA from 1 species